AUUAUCAUAAUCUUCUUCAGGUUGCUCCAACCGUUGAUCUUCUUCUUAGCAGCAGAUUUGUUUCCCUCCUUUGAUUCUGAAUCAUUGAAAGUUUCGGCCUUUUUCAGCUCCAUUUGUUCUUGUUCGAUUCUGACUUUUCGCGAAGCAUCACAAGUUGGGGCACUACUAGCAUCCGAACCGGCAUCACUAUAAUCAACUGACUGAUUA
rnacentral:lncRNA from 1 species